GUUCACAACUGAGAAAACUACAGCCGGGCUAAAUUAAGCUGAAUUCACUUUCUUCUCUCUGUCCUGCUCUUUCAACUUAACAAAAUCUGACAAACCAAUUUUGUAAGGUAUUUCUUUUCAAGUGACUUUUACUAUGUGGAAAGAUUUGCUUCACCAAUUAUGUGGAUGCUAUUUGGAUAAACCUGCCUCCACCCCAGAAGAGAUGAAAGGGAUUAACAAAGUGUGACACAAAAAAGGAAGUCCAAGUGACACAUCAUGGUCAAGGCAGACAUGGAACCACAAUCCAGUUCCUUAAACUGGUCUUUCCAACAUCAGGAGACAUUACUAUACAGCUACUCCCAGACUACUGCCACUGCCUUCAUAGAGCCAGCUUCUUCGUUCAGCCAUGGCCAAUCAGCACUUCUUCUGCAGCUCAAGAUGCCAGAGUUACCGUGGCAAUGAGAGGUUAAAAGACUUGCCCACCGUCAUGUCACCAGCAUGGAUCGGACGGGGCACUUGAACCUUGAGCUUUGAAAAGGGAAGGGGAUAACAGCCUGAUACCAUGCUAGCAGUUCUAUGCAAGAUACAGAUUUUUAUUGAAUCUUCUGAUUUACUGAAGAGGAAACUGAGGCCCUGAGAGUUUGCCCAAAGUCACAGAAUGCCAAAACGCAGAGAGAACCCUAUCUCCUGAUUUCCAAGCCAGGACACUUUGCUGUAUACUGUGUUGCUCUUCCUUUACUCAUAUGAACAUGGUCAAGCCUUCAUUAUACGUGGAUGAUCAAAACCUGUGAUGUCCAGAAUACUCCUAGGUUCAUCUCUCUUUGAUGCCCCACUCCCAACCCACAAUGAUCUAUAGACUCCCAUUUUCUAUAGUGCUCACUGCCCAUUCUCUUCAUCUGACACGAAUGCCUUGUACUGUUAGCUAUUUCGAUAUGUACACGGGUCAUGUUUCACCCAUAGGACUUAAACAACCCUGACGGCAGGGAUUUCUCUCUGUCCAUUUCUUUGUAUAUUUCAUCCUGCACCGUGACUUGUAAAUAACAGGUCAAUCAGUAAAUUAUUGAAUUCUAGGUCAGGGUACUAAAACCUCUACCAAACAAAAUUCCUGAGGAAUCAUAAACACAUUUUAACGGCAGCCUGAACAACAAGAAGUUAAAGAGAGAAGGGGAACCGAUCCAUCUUCAACAGGUAUUUAUUAAGAACCUGAGCUAAGCGUAUGUUUACACACAAACACACAAUUAAUUCAUGUGCUUAAGUCUAUAAACUGGAAAAAGAUUACAACUCUCCUUUCUUCUAAUGUCUCAGGUGUGCGGAUGCAUGUUGAAGUAGUUAAAUAAAACAUAAUUUAAGCUGCCCAAACAAUUAGAAAAGUAUGAGAGAACUGGUAACCUGGGAUAAAGUGACGGUCAUUUGACAAUUCACGAUAACCACGUAGGGCACAGUCUGACACACCUUAGACAUUCAGGAAAGCAGAAUGCAAAAAGCUCAGGGAAAAAAACAAGCAUUAUCAUGUGACUUAAGAGUCUAAAAAUGAAGCAACAAAGUAGAGGAAGUAGAGAGAGUAUAAAGGGCAAAAUAAAGUUCUCUUUUGCCUUUCUGUGGCAUGGAGUUGAUCUCAGUCCCUAAGAGUUAUGCCAGGAAAGGAUAAACUCUGAUGGGUCCCUCACCAAUACAGAAAGCUUCAAAUAUGUGCCUAAUAGACCUGAUGUGUGCUAUCUGACCAAGGUCCAGCCUAAGUAAGUCCAGACAAGCUCAUCACAGGAAUGGUCACAGGGUAAUGAAUUAUUUAGUCAGCUAUUCAUGAAGGUAGUCUACUAAAACAUAUAGGGGUUGUAACCUUCAUCAGUGGUCCACACAGAUGGCAUCAUGGAUCCACUGAUUUUUUUUGCCCUUUACUGCCCAAUAGUAGGAACAAAGAAGGAAUAAGACCAAAUAAAAUUCCUGCAAUUAGGGUGGCAUUAACACAAAACUGGAAGAAAGUUGUACUGUUCAGCUCCUAUUUUGCUUCUGUCUCUAUUCUCAAUCAAAGAAAAUGAUCUUUAAACUGGAAAUGGAAGAACAAAUUUGGUCAAGGAGGAAACUAAUGAUCAAGAUAAGUAAUGGGAGAGAAAGUACUCUGAUGCUUUAAAUGAGUUCAGAUCACCUGGCUCAAAUGCAUUUUCAAUUAAGGGACUGAUAUAAUUUGCAGACGUUGCCCAAACCAUUGUCUAUAAUCUGUGAGAUAUCAUGGAGAAAAUAAUAAUAAGAUAAUAGUAAGCUAGCAUUUAUAAAACUCUUUUGAGAUUUAUAAAACACUUUAUAAAUAUUAUUUUAUUUGAUCAUCACAACAACCCUGGGAGGCACAGGCUAAUAUAAUACUCAUUUUACUAUGAGGAAACUGAGGAAGACAAAAUGUUAAGUGACUUGCCUAGGGUCACACAGGUCAGAUGUGAACUCAGGUCUUCUUGAAUUAAAUCACAGUGCUCGUAUCCAUCAUGCAACCUAGAGAUGGAUUCUGGAAAGCCCAGACCAGUGAGCUUGAAGUACAUCCCCCACAAAAUUCUCUAACAGAUUAUUGUACAGAUUGAUUUGUGAGGAAAUCCCAGGAGUUGGAAUAGCUUAAACAAAGAAAAAAGUUACAAUUUCAACUUGCUUAAAAGCACUUCCAAAAGGCAGAGGCCAGAGUGCUAAGCACUGAUGGGAAGCACCAAAAUAAAUUUUAUUAACAUACCUGAAUAGAAGUUUUUGUAGGACUUUUAGAGUUUGAAAGGACCUGGAAGAUCACCUAGUCCCAUAGUCCAAGCCUCUCCUUUUCAGGUGAGGAAACUGAGGAUCAGGGAGUUAAAGUGACUUUCAAAGGUCACAUGCCUAUUAAGUGACAAAGCUGGAAGGAACUUCACUGUGUGUCCUGCUAUAGUGGUUUCAUUUCCUAUUUUCAUCAGGUUAUUAGAUUAAUAAAUCAAAGAAAUGCUAAGUAGCUGGAAUUCAGCAAGGCAUGGGACAAAACCUCUCAUGAUAUACUUGUAGACAAGAGGACUCAAUGGCAGCUAGGGAAGUAGGUUUGUAGCUGAUUAAAUCACAAUGCUCAAGGAGUGCUGACUGUAUUGGGAGUCAGGAAAUCGGAUUCUAGCCCUGAUUCUGCCACUAACUAUCUGACCUUGGUCAAAUAACUUUUUCCCCUGUUGGAGGGUGAACCUUAUCUAUACAAUAACACGCUUAAAGGAGAGGAUCUCUUAGCUUUGAAAUUCACAGACAUCUUACACAACAUACGAAAAUAAAGUCAUCAGACACGUCAGAUGUCUCUGGCUAGACACAGGGCCGUAAUGAGAGGAGGGGAAUAGUAGAAUCAACAGAAAAGUAGUUUAGAAAGGAGUGAAUAGGAAGAUUUCAAAGACUGAUAAGGAGGUACCGAUGGAAAGAGCCCUGAGUCAAGAGUCAAGUCAAGAGGAACCGGGCUCUAAUCCUGCCUCUGAUGCUUACUAACCUAUGUGACCUAGGCCAACUCACUUAACUCCCUUACUCCUCAGUUUCCUUGUCUGUAAAAUGACUAGAUGACUCCUGGAGCUCCCUCCCAACUCUAGAUCAAUGAGGCUAUUAUCAUCCUAAGGCCUGAGAGACCUAGUCGAAUUCCCUCAUUUCACAGAUGAGGAAAAUGAAUUGGAGGGAGAGAAAACAAACUGCCCCAAAUCAGGACACUAGUUAGAGAGGCAGAACUAGAAUCUAGGUCUCCUGACUUUAAGUCGUCUUACCACUCUCACUACCAGCACUUAACUGUAUGUAUGUAUGUAUGUAUGUAUAUAUUAUAUGCACAUAACUGUGUAUCUGUAUGUAUGUGUAUGUGUGUGUGUAUACACACACACACACACACACAUGCACGCACAACGAGAUCUGUCCUACCACAGAGCAGAUGACGCUGCCUUGCUUUUCUAUCAAAGACCAUUAAUGAAAGGUAUCAGAUGAUGGGUAAUUCCUGCUGACAAAGUUUGGCUUCUCCCACACUGAGAAGGUACACUCUCUUUUAACACCUGCCUCCUUGACAUCCUUUCCUGAAUUCUGACUAAUGCCUCUGCUUGGAGUCUGGAAGUCGAAAGUCAAUAAAUCCCAUCACACUGUAGCUAUAUCCGAAAUUAGGCUCAAGACAACUAAUCUCUUUGAAACAGCCCAAACUCAAAAGGAUGACAUAAGGACUUUCAAGAGGAAAGGGGUUAAUUAAUCACUAUCAUAGAAGCCUGUGAUCUGAAGAGGGUGAAGCCCAUUUCACUGUGAAUGCCAGAGGCAGUCAUGAAGAAGGGCUGGUCAAUGCUAAUAAGUCUUUACCCUUUUUCUUUGGUCUCUUAAAUUCUGCUCCCAGGAGAUGGCCAAGGAAGAGAGAACAAGGUAAAAGCUACUUAUAUAACCUGUACACAUAUCAGCCUAUCACAAGAAAUGUCUCUCCCACUAAGGAUUCCAAAUAAAGAGCUGAAUCCAACAUACAGACUCUAUGACUAAUAAGAAACGGUUUUAAUAUCCAAGAAACAUAAACCACUGCCUAGUCAAAACCCAAAGGUUUACUUUACCUGGAAGUAAGAAAGCGACAACCAAGAGAACAGCUGUGGAGAUCCAAGUUGGGAAAGUAGGAAGGGAGGGCAGAGAAGCUAAACUGUCUCACCCUUUUUGGAGAGAUUUUCCAUCCUAGAGUUAACAAUGAAAUUAAACAGAUACACACAAGUCAACACAAAGAACUGGGAAACAUGAGCCUUAUUCUCAAAUAGUUUACAGUCUCCCAGAGGAUAUAAAACUAACAAAUAUAUGAAACAAAAAAGGAAUCUAAGUGCAACCAUAUACAAGGAAACACAACAUGUGUGUAUGGACUAUAAAUGCCCUAAAAAUGCAGUUCAAUUCAGUAAGCAUUUAUUAAGUACCUGCUAUGUGCCAGGGUAGUGUUAAGCACUGGGAUAG